rnacentral:rRNA from 1 species
GACGAACGCUGGCGGCGCGCCUAACACAUGCAAGUCGAACGAGCGAGAGGUGGUUUACUUUCUCAAGCGAGUGGCGAACGGGUGAGUAACGCGUGAGGAACCUGCCUCAAAGAGGGGGACAACAGUUGGAAACGACUGCUAAUACCGCAUAAGCCCACGACCCGGCAUCGGGUCGAGGGAAAAGGAGCAAUCCGCUUUGAGAUGGCCUCGCGUCCGAUUAGCUAGUUGGUGAGGUAAUGGCCCACCAAGGCGACGAUCGGUAGCCGGACUGAGAGGUUGAACGGCCACUUUAGGACUGAGACACGGCCCAGACUCCUACGGGAGGCAGCAGUGGGGAAUAUUGCAAAAGGGGGGAAACCCUGAUGCAGCGACGCCGCGUGGAGGAAGAAGGUCUUCGGAUUGUAAACUCCUGUUGUUGAGGAAGAUAAUGACGGUACUCAACAAGGAAGUGACGGCUAACUACGUG